UUCUGGUUGAUCCUGCCGGACCUGACUGCUAUCGGAUUGAUACUAAGCCAUGCGAGUCAUUGUAGCAAUACAAGGCAGACGGCUCAGUAACGCGUAGUCAACCUAACCUAUGGACGGGAAUAACCUCGGGAAACUGAGAAUAAUGCCCGAUAGAACACUAUACCUGGAAUGGUUUGUGUUCUAAAUGAUUUAUCGCCGUAGGAUGGGACUGCGGCCUAUCAGUUUGUUGGUGAGGUAAUGGCCCACCAAGACUAUUACAGGUACGGGCUCUGAGAGGAGUAGCCCGGAGAUGGGUACUGAGACACGGACCCAGGCCCUAUGGGGCGCAGCAGGCGAGAAAACUUUGCAAUGUGCGAAAGCACGACAAGGUUAAUCCGAGUGAUUUGUGCUAAACGAAUCUUUUGUUAGUCCUAGAACCACUAACGAAUAAGGGGUGGGCAAGUUCUGGUGUCAGCCGCCGCGGUAAAACCAGCACCUCAAGUGGUCAGGAUGAUUAUUGGGCCUAAAGCAUCCGUAGCCGGCUCUGUAAGUUUUCGGUUAAAUCUGUACGCUUAACGUACAGGCUGCCGGGAAUACUGCAGAGCUAGGGAGUGGGAGAGGUAGACGGUACUCGGUAGGAAGGGGUAAAAUCCUUUGAUCUAUUGAUGACCACCUGUGGCGAAGGCGGUCUACCAGAACACGUCCGACGGUGAGGGAUGAAAGCUGGGGGAGCAAACCGGAUUAGAUACCCGGGUAGUCCCAGCUGUAAACUAUGCAAACUCAGUGAUGCAUUGACUUGUGGUCAAUGCAGUGCUGCAGGGAAGCCGUUAAGUUUGCCGCCUGGGAAGUACGUACGCAAGUAUGAAACUUAAAGGAAUUGGCGGGGGAGCACCACAAGGGGUGAAGCCUGCGGUUCAAUUGGAUUCAACGCCGGA
rnacentral:rRNA from 1 species